rnacentral:rRNA from 1 species
CACGUAGGGGGCAAGCGUUGUCCGGAUUUAUUGGGCGUAAAGAGCUCGUAGGCGGCUCAGUAAGUCAGGUGUGAAACCUCCAGGCUCAACCUGGAGACGCCACCCGAUACUGCUGUGGCUAGAGUCCGGUAGGGGAGCAUGGAAUUCCUGGUGUAGCGGUGAAAUGCGCAGAUAUCAGGAGGAACACCAGUGGCGAAGGCGGUGCUCUGGGCCGGAACUGACGCUGAGGAGCGAAAGCGUGGGGAGCAAACAGG